rnacentral:lncRNA from 1 species
CUUAGGUAACACAGGAAACUCAGCACAGGAGCUGAUCCAGGAUGUCUGAUGCCUGAAUCUGUAAUUCCCACUGAGAUCGAACUUCCAGUGACUCCAGAAAAGGACGGCAGCAUGACCAUCCUUUCCUGUUCAGCCAAACACCUUAACUAGAAUUAUUCAAGUUUAAAGCAAAAUUUCAGCAGUAACUGAAAUGCUUGCAGAAUACACGAACAACAGCGCCCUCUGCACCUGAAACCCCUCCGGUUAUUAAACCCAGACGUUCCUACGUGCUGGAGGAGCCUUUAAUUUCAAUUACUGCUUUUUUCAGCUGCUGAUAUUCUAACCAGCAGAGCCAUAGAUAUUUCUGGUGUUAUAUUUGGCUAAAAUCUCACCACCAAUCUCAGCUUCUGGCAUGGAAGGAAAGAAAUCCAUUCCCAAGGGGCACAGAAAGGAUGCAAACCUCAAGGCAAGACCCAACCCUUGCAGCCUUUGUGCGAGGUGAAGAAAAUGAAGGAAGUGAAUAAACUGCCCACCUGCUAAAACUGAUGCUGCAAACUGCCCCCAGGAGAACUGCCAAGGAAUCCAGCCUCAUUUUGCCUGGGAAUGCAAGAUCUCCACUGUGGCUCCUCAAACUCUGUUCCCAUCCUUGCCCUUCUGCCCAGGAAAUACCAUUUAAUGCAUGUGUCCAGUUACUGCAACAACUUUGAAGAAAGGAAGACGUCAAAGGCAAUGCAAGAAGGCAAGAUCUGGCAACAGCACCUGUCAAGAUUCCAAACCCAAGAAAUUAAAAAACACCUACUGUCCAAAUUAUUGUUGUACUGGUAGAAACAGGAUAGUAGCCUUUGGUCUUCCUGUGAAUAAACUGGAACAGAACUCUGUAUUGCCAGCUGAAUUUCUUUUUCAGCAACUCAACUUUCACAGUGAAUCAGGAGUACAAUUCUUCUACUCUCUGCAUUUUAGUUUGGUCUCAGCUCUGUCUUCAUGA